rnacentral:misc_RNA from 1 species
CAGAGGGAACUCUUCCCGACAAACCACUGCGGACGCUACCUCUUCGUUGCUUCGGCGGGAUCGUCCCGGCCGCGCUGGUGCUGCUCGCCGCGGUCCGGAUCCAGGCGCCCGCCGGAGGCCCCCCAAACCCUGCUUCAGCGGUAUCUUCUGAGUGGCACGAAGCAAAUAAGCAAAAAAAAAAAA